rnacentral:rRNA from 1 species
GAUGAACGCUAGCGGCAGGCCUAAUACAUGCAAGUCGAACGGUGUCUUCGGACAUAGUGGCGCACGGGUGCGUAACACGUAUGCAACCUACCUUACAUUGGGGGAUAGCCUCUCGAAAGGGAGAUUAAUACCGCAUAAGACAGUAGCUGGGCAUCCAGCAGCUGUUAAAGAUUUAUCGAUGUAAGCUGGGCAUGCGUCCAAUUAGCUAGUUGGUGAGGUAACGGCUCACCAAGGCAAUGAUUGGUAGGGGAACUGAGAGGUCAAUCCCCCACACUGGCACUGAGAGACGGGCCAGACUCCUACGGGAGGCAGCAGUUGGGAAUAGUGGGCAAUGGACGCAAGUCUGACCCAGCCAUGCCGCGUGCAGGAUGAAGGCGUUAUGCGUUGUAAACUGCUUUUAUACAGGAAGAAACGACUCUUGCGAGAGGCAUUGACGGUACUGUAUGAAUAAGCACCGGCUAACUCCGUGCCAGCCGCCGCCGUAACAC